CGUAUCACCCAAGACAACUUUACGGAGUUGACGAUUGACGGAGCGAAGCGACGUCAAAGCGUUCAUUAAAGUCGAGUUGGCUUAGGGAUACGUUCGUUGGGUAGGGGAGCGUUCUGUAAGCCUGUGAAGGUGUGUCGUGAGGCAUGCUGGAGGUAUCAGAAGUGCGAAUGCUGACAUAAGUAACGAUAAAGCGGGUGAAAAGCCCGCUCGCCGGAAGACCAAGGGUUCCUGUCCAACGUUAAUCGGGGCAGGGUGAGUCGACCCCUAAGGCGAGGCCGAAAGGCGUAGUCGAUGGGAGACGGGUUAAUAUUCCCGUACUUGGUGUUACUGCGAAGGGGGGACGGAGAAGGCUAUGUUGGCCGGGCGACGGUUGUCCCGGUUUAAGCGUGUAGGUGUGUGUUCCAGGUAAAUCCGGUUCACUUUAACACUGAGGCGUGACGACGAGGCACUACGGUGCUGAAGCAACAAAUGCCCUGCUUCCAGGAAAAGCCUCUAAGCAUCAGGUAACAUCAAAUCGUACCCCAAACCGACACAGGUGGUCAGGUAGAGAAUACCAAGGCGCUUGAGAGAACUCGGGUGAAGGAACUAGGCAAAAUGGUGCCGUAACUUCGGGAGAAGGCACGCUGACACGUAGGUGAAGUGAUUUACUCAUGGAGCUGAAGUCAGUCGAAGAUACCAGCUGGCUGCAACUGUUUAUUAAAAACACAGCACUGUGCAAACACGAAAGUGGACGUAUACGGUGUGACGCCUGCCCGGUGCCGGAAGGUUAAUUGAUGGGGUCAGCGCAAGCGAAGCUCCUGAUCGAAGCCCCGGUAAACGGCGGCCGUAACUAUAACGGUCCUAAGGUAGCGAAAUUCCUUGUCGGGUAAGUUCCGACCUGCACGAAUGGCGUAAUGAUGGCCAGGCUGUCUCCACCCGAGACUCAGUGAAAUUGAACUCGCUGUGAAGAUGCAGUGUACCCGCGGCAAGACGGAAAGACCCCGUGAACCUUUACUAUAGCUUGACACUGAACAUUGAGCCUUGAUGUGUAGGAUAGGUGGGAGGCUUUGAAGUGUGGACGCCAGUCUGCAUGGAGCCGACCUUGAAAUACCACCCUUUAAUGUUUGAUGUUCUAACGUGGACCCGUAAUCCGGGUUGCGGACAGUGUCUGGUGGGUAGUUUGACUGGGGCGGUCUCCUCCUAAAGAGUAACGGAGGAGCACGAAGGUUGGCUAAUCCUGGUCGGACAUCAGGAGGUUAGUGCAAUGGCAUAAGCCAGCUUGACUGCGAGCGUGACGGCGCGAGCAGGUGCGAAAGCAGGUCAUAGUGAUCCGGUGGUUCUGAAUGGAAGGGCCAUCGCUCAACGGAUAAAAGGUACUCCGGGGAUAACAGGCUGAUACCGCCCAAGAGUUCAUAUCGACGGCGGUGUUUGGCACCUCGAUGUCGGCUCAUCACAUCCUGGGGCUGAAGUAGGUCCCAAGGGUAUGGCUGUUCGCCAUUUAAAGUGGUACGCGAGCUGGGUUUAGAACGUCGUGAGACAGUUCGGUCCCUAUCUGCCGUGGGCGCUGGAGAACUGAGGGGGGCUGCUCCUAGUACGAGAGGACCGGAGUGGACGCAUCACUGGUGUUCGGGUUGUCAUGCCAAUGGCACUGCCCGGUAGCUAAAUGCGGAAGAGAUAAGUGCUGAAAGCAUCUAAGCACGAAACUUGCCCCGA
rnacentral:rRNA from 1 species